AGAACGAACGCUGACGGCAGGCCUCAAACAUGCAAGUCUAGGGGGUGUAGCAAUACAUCACCGGCGGACGGGUGCGUAACGCGUGGGAAUGUACCUAUUGGUUCGGAACAACUGAGGGAAACUUCAGCUAAUACCGGAUGAGCCCGAAAGGGGAAAGAUUUCUCGCCAAUAGAUCAGCCCGCGUCCGAUUAGCUAGUUGGUGGGGUUAAAGCCUACCAAGGCGACGAUCGGUAGCUGUUCUGAGAGGAAGAUCAGCCACACUGGGACUGAGACACGGCCCAGACUCCUACGGGAGGCAGCAGUUGGGAAUCUUGGACAAUGGGGGAAACCCUGAUCCAGCCAUGCCGCGUGAGUGAUGAAGGCCUUCGGGUUGUAAAACUCUUUCGACGGGGACGAUAAUGACGGUACCCGUAGAAGAAGCUCCGGCUAACUUCGCGCCAGCAGCCGC
rnacentral:rRNA from 1 species